AGAGAAAGAGAAAGAGAAAGAGAGAUAGACACGUCUUAAUAGUACUACUAAUAGGGAGACAAAAAAACAAAACUUGUAUUGUAAGAAUUUAUGCAAUAAAAGAGAGGAGCAAGCAAUUGCAAGGAAAGUGAAGUGAAUGUAUUAGAAAGGAGAGAAAACAAAAGAGAGGAAAAAUGCAAAUGCAAAAGACUGAGAGGGAGCGCAGAACACCGCAACUUGAGGGGACAGAAUGUACCAAAAAAGUGAAAGGGAUAUCACUCACCCUUCUUAAUUGUAUUUGUGGGGGCAACACACAUUCAUUUUAAUUAUAAAUUCAUUAAUUCAAUUUUCAAAAUAAAAUAAAACACUGUUUGAAUAAUUCAACACUGUUUCUUUUUCCCUAAAUGAAAUUAAAACCAUGAUGAACUUUUUAUGUGUUCUGCCUCUCCUCUCACUACUGACAAUGCUGGGUAAGUCCUUUGAAUGGCUAUCAAAUGGUAAAAUAACGGAAAGACUGAUAAUAUCAGAAAAAAUACAGAGUGUAGUAACGUACUUGCUUGGUGAAAAUGGGAGAGAUGAAAAUGGAAGCAAACGCUGAAAGGUAAAUACUACUCAAGUCUCUAUGUG
rnacentral:lncRNA from 1 species